rnacentral:rRNA from 1 species
AUGUCCACGGAGGCGCGAGCGACGGCGAGGGCGUUCGCGUCUGGAGGUGAUGGCUGCAGGAGGCCCCCGGAGAGUGAGACUGGACGCGAUGGUGCCAGCGAUCGGCGAGGUCCCGACGGCGCGCGGCGUGGCUUGCACCGGAGCUGGCGAGGCCAUGGCGACGGUCGGCCGUGGGCGUUGUGCUUCGGCAAAGCUCACGUCGCUACUGCGGCGGGUAAUCUCCGUUUGCGCCGUCUGCGCAUGAUGUACGUGUUCCGGUUCACGCAGUGCAGGGAACAUGCUGUCCGUGACCUUCCUUGGCAAGCGGACGCCAAGUUCGGUUUCGGACCAUCGCCUACGUCCUGGUCCACGACGGCGCGCGGCGGCGGCGCCCUCUUCUGUAGUGUCCAAUGUUAG